GUGUACGGCCAUACCACCCUGAACACACUCAAUCCCGUUUGAUCUUGGAAGGUAAGCAGGGUCGGGCCUGGUUAGUUGGAUGGGAGAAGAAUUCC
rnacentral:rRNA from 1 species